AGUCCGCUCUAUAACAGUUAUUACCCAUAGAGUCAGCUCUAAGGCUAACAGUUACUACCCAUAGAGUCAGCUCUAAGGCUAACAGUUACUACCCAUAGAGUCAGCUCUAAAGCUAACAGUUAUUACCCAUAGAGUCAGCUCUAUAACAGUUACUACCCAUAGAGUCAGCUCUAAGGCUAACAGUUACUUACUAUUUAUCAGUAGAUUGCUGUGGAUUGCUGUACUGUAUCUGUCUGUAAAUUGGAUCUGGAUUGGUUGGUUGGGAUGGCAGUGUUUGAUUGGCCCACCUUUGCCACUGAUCAGCCAGUCAGAUGAGCGGGGCCUUGGGUUAGGAAGGAGAAUAGGGUAUGCAGUUUUAUAUUUCCCCCACUGAUGGUAAAGGUCAGGAUUGGGGGAGGGGAAGCUGAUUCUAGAUCUGUACCCAGGGAAAACGUCACCCUGGAGCGGGUGGGGAACAUAGUUUGGUUUAGUCUGCUGGUAAACUAGGGCUUCGUGUGAAAUACCAGCCUAUUCCCUAUAUAGUGGGCUUUCAUACUCAGCCUAUCCUAAAGAAUAUGGGUUAUUCAUCAAAUAUCUAGUCAGGAACCAAGGACUAUACAGAUAGAUUUGACACGUCUUCUCUUUCAUUUUUUAAAUAUCUUCCUGAAUUUUUUAUUUUAUUUUUUAUUUUACCUUUAUUUAACCAGGCAAGUCAGUUAAGAACAAAUUCUUAUUUUCAAUGACGGCCUGGGAACAGUGGGUUAACUGCCUGUUCAGGGGCAGAACGACAGAUUUGUACCUUGUCAGCUCCGGUUACUAGUCCAACGCUCAAACCACUAGGCCACCCUGAAUCCCCUUAUAUAUGAGAGUCAAAUGUUUUCUCUUGAUUUUAUGUCCUGGUGUAAAUUUUGAAACAUUUGCAAAAACAUUACUGUGAUUGUAGCUCAGCAUGAAUCAAACCACCGACAUCUUGUGAGUCCAAUAUGAUUAUACUGUAUAUCAACAAUAUAUUGUUCGGUGUGACCAGGGUUGAAUCUUUUUAAUAGUCUUUAGCCAUGAUGGUGUUUAUGAAAUUAACUUUUGUUGUCUUGGAACGAUUAUACAUACAAAUUGACAGCACUUCAGAACUCUUCUCCACAUACACCUGCUCUUUAAUGUCAACCUAACAUGAGGUUCCCUUUAAACACUUCAUACCUGUGGUCACUUAUGGGGGGAAGUGUAAAGCAUUUUCAACAGUCUGAUAAAUAUAUGUCACUUUGUUUACAUGAUUGGCAUAGUGGUCUAUUUGCUGUUAUUAGAGGCUAGUUAGGGAGAGGCUAGUUAGGGAGAGGCUAGUUAGGGAGAGGCUAGUUAGGGAGAGGCUAGUUAGGGAGAGGCUAGUUUGGGAGAGGCUAGUUAGGGAGAGGCUAGUUAGGGAGAGGUAGUUAGGGAGAGGCUAGUUAGGGAGAGGCUAGUUAGGGAGAGGUAGUUAGGGAGAGGCUAGUUAGGGAGAGGCUAGUUUGGGAGAGGCUAGUUAGGGAGAGGCUAGUUAGGGAGAGGUAGUUAGGGAGAGGCUAGUUAGGGAGAGGCUAGUUAGGGAGAGGUAGUUAGGGAGAGGCUAGUUAGGGAGAGGCUAGUUAGGGAGAGGCUAGUUAGGGAGAGGUAGUUAGGGAGAGGCUAGUUAGGGAGAGGCUAGUUAGGGAGAGGCUAGUUAGGGAGAGGUAGGUAGGGAGAGGUAGGUAGGCUAUACCUAUGACAGGACAAUGCUUUCCGUCUAUCACGUUUCCCUCUUUCUAACUUUUAGAACAGUAAACACUUUGCAACAUGGUCUUCGAAGUGCUUAGUACCUUAUCCUUACCUGCCCAGGGUUCUACUGAUAUGGAUUUAAUGGAUAUUAAAUAGAAAAGUCUAGAACAAGAAGCACAGUAACAGCCAUUUGUCCAUGGCGUUUACCAACCAAAUUAAUUUGUUUGCAUUGAUUCUAAAGAAAAGCGUAGCCACUUUUAUUACUGUGUAAUAGUUACUCAACAAUUUCUAAUUUACAGAUAAGGACAAAGGUUCUGGAUCAUUCCUAGGGUCUGUCCCAAAUCGCAUGCUAUUUCCUAUGUAGGGCACUACUUUGUACAUAGGGAAUAGGGUUCCAUUUGGGAUGGAACCAUAGAGAACUGGGCCACAAUCGCAGCGCUCUGAUUGGAGGAGGAGGGGAGGUUAAAGGUUAAUGAGGAUGUCACCUUUUUGGAUUGACUGCAUGUAUGUGUGAUUAAAUCAUUAUGAGAAAAACA